AACUGGGAGGUUUACCCUAGUCCCAGGCCAAAUCUUAACAAAGCCAACUGCCAGUAGCUAGUUACAAAUCCAGACAAGAGGGUGCACACCGACCAGAAAAUUAGGCUGAUACCUAGCAGAACCUGCAUAUAAAGGUCAGCUGCAAUACCAACAGGGAUGGCAGCAAAGGUGUAUAUCAAGAUGAAAAUGGGUCCAGCAAGAAUUUGAUAGUCAAAACCUUGCCCUGUAUAGUCCCAUUUACAACCUCCAAAAAUUGUUUCAUUGUAUACAAAUUGGGUACAGCUUUGAUUUAAAGACCAGAUUAUUAUUAUGAAUUGCUAGAUGUAAACCACUACACAAAUACCUAGAUUGAUUGGUAAGCUUCUGGCAGACAACUUGAGGACUUGGAGAAGCAGCUGAUGUGUUGGUCAUGCAUCCUUGGUCCCCGUAAUGAAUUUCCUAUAGGGAAAACAGAUGAAGUGUAAAAAAUUAUUUUCAAUUCUUUCUCAUCAAUUAGGAAAAUACAAAAUGUUUGCCUGUG